rnacentral:rRNA from 1 species
CAUGCAGCCGCGGGAAUACGGAGGAUCCAAGCGUUAUCCGGAAUCAUUGGGUUUAAAGGGUCCGUAGGCGGUCUUGUAAGUCAGUGGUGAAAGCCCAUCGCUCAACGGUGGAACGGCCAUUGAUACUGCAGGACUUGAAUUAUUGGGAAGUAACUAGAAUAUGUAGUGUAGCGGUGAAAUGCUUAGAGAUUACAUGGAAUACCAAUUGCGAAGGCAGGUUACUACCAAUUGAUUGACGCUGAUGGACGAAAGCGUGGGUAGCGAACAGGAUUAGAUACCCCGGUAGUCCCUGUCUCUUAUA